rnacentral:rRNA from 1 species
CAGUCGCCGCGGUAAUACGUAGGUGGCAAGCGUUGUCCGGAAUUAUUGGGCGUAAAGGGCUCGCAGGCGGUUUCUUAAGUCUGAUGUGAAAGCCCCCGGCUCAACCGGGGAGGGUCAUUGGAAACUGGGAAACUUGAGUGCAGAAGAGGAGAGUGGAAUUCCACGUGUAGCGGUGAAAUGCGUAGAGAUGUGGAGGAACACCAGUGGCGAAGGCGACUCUCUGGUCUGUAACUGACGCUGAGGAGCGAAAGCGUGGGGAGCGAACAGGAUUAGAUACCCGUGUAGUCCCUGUCUCUUAUAU